rnacentral:rRNA from 1 species
GACAGAGGAUGCAAACGUUGCUCGGAAUUACUGGGCGUAAAGCGCGUGUAGGUGGCCUUGUUAGUCCGGUGUGAAAGCCCAGGGCUCAACCCUGGAAGUGCAUCGGAUACUGCAAGGCUGGAGUACUGAAGAGGAGAGCGGAAUUCCCGGUGUAGAGGUGAAAUUCGUAGAUAUCGGGAGGAACACCAGUGGCGAAGGCGGCUCUCUGGGCAGAUACUGACACUGAGACGCGAAAGCGUGGGGAGCAAACAGG